CUUUGAGCUUGGACAGUGUGAUAGGUGUAACUUGAGUUCUCUUCCUUCCCUAACCCACUCUAGAAUCUGAGGAGGAGGUGGAGGAACCUGAGGAAAGACAGCAGACCCCUGAGACAGUUGAUGAUACCGGUGCUUACUACGAGCAGUCUGUAAGCAAUGACUUGGAGGAACAGCUGGAGGAGCCAGUAGUGGAACCAGAACCAGAGCCUGAACCGGAGCCUGAACAGGAGCCAGAACCAGAAGUGCAGGAA